rnacentral:rRNA from 1 species
AGUGAACGCUGGCGGUAGGCCUGACACAUGCAAGUCGAACGGCAGCACAGUAAGAGCUUGCUCUUACGGGUGGCGAGUGGCGGACGGGUGAGGAAUACAUCGGACUCUACUUUUUCGUGGGGGAUGACGUAGGGAAACUUACGCUAAUACCGCAUACUACCUACGGGUGAAAGCAGGGGAUCUUCUGACCUUGCGCGAGUGAAUGAGCCGAUGUCGGAUUAGCUAGUUGGCGGGGUAAAGGCCCACCAAGGCGACGAUCCGUAGCUGGUCUGAGAGGAUGGUCAGCCACACUGGAAGUGAGACACGGCCCAGACUCCUACGGGAGGCAGCAGUGGGGAAUAUUGGACAAUGGGCGAAAGCCUGAUCCAGCCAUACCGCGUGGGUGAAGAAGGCCUUCGGGUUGUAAAGCCUUUUUGUUGGGAAAGAAAAGCAGCAGGUUAACACCCCGCUGUUCUGACGGUACCCAAAGAAUAAGCACCGGCUAACUUCGUG